rnacentral:rRNA from 1 species
GACAGAGGGUGCGAACGUUGUUCGGAAUUACUGGGCGUAAAGCGCGUGUAGGCGGCAACGCAAGUCGGGCGUGAAAUCCCACGGCUCAACCGUGGAAGUGCACUCGAAACUGCGUAGCUAGAGUCCUGGAGAGGAAGGUGGAAUGCUUGGUGUAGAGGUGAAAUUCGUAGAUAUCAAGCGGAACACCGGUGGCGAAGGCGGCCUUCUGGACAGUGACUGACGCUGAGACGCGAAGGCGUGGGGAGCAAACAGG